rnacentral:rRNA from 1 species
GACGGAGGGUGCAAGCGUUGUUCGGAAUUACUGGGCGUAAAGCGUGCGCAGGCGGUUUUGUAAGUCAGAUGUGAAAUCCCCGGGCUUAACCUGGGAACUGCGUUUGAAACUACAAGGCUAGAGUGUGGCAGAGGGGGGUGGAAUUCCACGUGUAGCAGUGAAAUGCGUAGAGAUGUGGAGGAACACCGAUGGCGAAGGCAGCCCCCUGGGUUAACACUGACGCUCAGGCACGAAAGCGUGGGGAGCAAACAGG